rnacentral:rRNA from 1 species
CGCGUAAGAACCUACCUUUUGGUUGAGGGAUACCAACUGGAAACGGUUGCUAAUACUUCGUAUGCUGAGAAGUGAAAGGUGGAAACAUCGCCAAGAGAGGGGCUUGCGUCUGAUUAGCUAGUUGGUAAGGUAAAGGCUUACCAAGGCUAUGAUCAGUAGCUGGUUUGAGAGGACGAUCAGCCACACUGGGACUGAGACACGGCCCAGAUCCCUACGGGGAGCAGCAGUGAGGAAUCUUCCGCAAUGGGCGAAAGCCUGACGGAGCACUAUCGCGUGGAGGAAGACGGCUCGUGAGUUGUA